UGGCGCAUAAUCUACAUACCCGGCCUGGCUCCUCCUCCUGGAUCGGCUCCCAUUCUCUUUCCCUUCCCAAAUCGCGCGCUGCUGGAAGGGCCGGCGAGCCAAUCGCAGCCUGUGAGGAGCUGGAGCUCUUCGCGUCGCCGGUUUCUGUACGCCGGCGACAUAAUCAUUGCACCCCCUUCUAGCAAGCAGAGAUACCUUCAGCGCUCACGCCGUUUAGAAAACUCAUAUCUUAAUUCCUCAGUGGUAAAGAAUACACAAAGAUAACUGGAUGUAAGCAACCUUAUAUUCUGGCUGAGGAGAAGCAGCUGGAAAGAUGAAAAGUAAUCUCCAAAAGUAGAAGGAUGGUGGAACCAGCAUGGUUUGUUGUAAUUAUUUGAUAUCACUGAGAACACGGACGGAGAAAUAAAUGAAAAGUGGAAACUUGAUUGUUUGUUGAUGGUUGUAACAUAACUUCCGGAUAACAGUGAUGUUUCAUCAGAACUUCUUCAGACCAUGAGUCUUUUUAAGUUUCUAUAAUAAAUUUUUCUAAAUAGCAAUACAUCAAUACAUGUGUUAAUCAUAAUAAAAAAACUCCACAAACCACAUCAGAAUGAGUGAAUAAAAGGGUAAACCAACCUGAACUGGCAGCUUCUCAUUUUUGUUGUGGGAAACUCUGGCUUUCUGUUGUAUUUAAAUGCUAUCUUAUCAAGGUACCUACAGCUGUCAAACAGGAUUAUGUAAUGACUUCAAUUAACUCAAAGUAGCCUAUAGUUUGAAUGACUCAACACCUCACAGCUAACUGUUUCAUAUAAUUUAAUGAUUUCUAAAAGUUUCAAUAGUGUUCCUUUUAUGCUUUUCUAACUGUUUCACAUAUUUUACUUCAAUAAACAGAGAAUUUUAGAGACAAUAGAGAAACUUCAUCUAGCCAGAGUUCCAAAAGGAGUUUUGUCAAUUAUAUAAAGAUAUUUCCCCUGAUCACCAAAAGGAUUCAUUGUAGUUUUCUUCAUUCCUAUCUACAAAAAGGGUCUCAAGAUCGAAUAUAAAUAUACUGAAAGAUUAUCAAGAGAUGUCCAAACAAGAUAAACCAACCUUAAAGGAUCUCUUGUUCACAAAAAGCUGGAAUAUUCCAGAUGGGAAUUUAGACCUGUCGGAUGAAGUGUAUGAAAUAAAUGUAUUAAAAAAGCCUC